rnacentral:miRNA from 1 species
UAACGAUGUUAGUCAAUGCA